GAUGAACGCUGGCGGCGUGCCUAAUACAUGCAAGUCGAACGGGGAGUAGCAAUACUCUUAGUGGCGAACGGGUGAGUAACGCGUUGGUACCUGCCCCGAAGCGGGGGAUAACGGACCGAAAGGUCCGCUAAUACCCCAUGUGCUCGGUAACGAGUAAAGGUGAAAACCACUUUGGGAGGGGCCUGCGUCCCAUCAGCUAGUUGGUAAGGUAACGGCUUACCAAGGCGAUGACGGGUAGGGGACCUGAGAGGGUGGCCCCCCACAAUGGAACUGAAACACGGACCAUACACCUACGGGUGGCAGCAGUAGGGAAUAUUGGUAAUGGGCGCAAGCCUGAACCAGCAACGCCGCGUGUGCGAUGACGGCCUUCGGGUUGUAAAGCACUUUUGACUGGGACGAGGAAGGACGGUACCGGUCGAAUCAGCCUCGGCUAACUACGUG
rnacentral:rRNA from 1 species